rnacentral:rRNA from 1 species
UGCGAGCGUUGUCCGGAAUUAUUGGGCGUAAAGAGCUCGUAGGCGGCUUGUCGCGUCGGAUGUGAAAGCCCGGGGCUUAACUCCGGGUCUGCAUUCGAUACGGGCAGGCUAGAGUUCGGUAGGGGAGAUCGGAAUUCCUGGUGUAGCGGUGAAAUGCGCAGAUAUCAGGAGGAACACCGGUGGCGAAGGCGGAUCUCUGGGCCGAUACUGACGCUGAGGAGCGAAAGCGUGGGGAGCGAACAGG